UUUGGUGGCGAUAGCGUAGAGGUCACACCCGUUCCCAUGCCGAACACGGAAGUUAAGCUCUUCAGCGCCGAUGGUAGUUGGGGGCUUCCCCCUGUGAGAGUAGGACGCCGCCAAGC
rnacentral:rRNA from 1 species